rnacentral:rRNA from 1 species
GAUGAACGCUGGCGGCGUGCCUAAUACAUGCAAGUCGAACGCUGGAAAUCUAGCUUGCUAGAUUGAAGGAGUGGCGAACGGGUGAGUAAUACAUAAGCAACCUACCCACGAAGACUGGGAUAAUCUCUGGAAACGGGGACUAAUACCGGAUAGGUAAUCGGAAGGCAUCUUCUGAUUAUUAAAGGUUAAAAACACUGGUGGAUGGGCUUAUGGCGCAUUAGUUAGUUGGUGAGGUAACGGCCCACCAAGACGAUGAUGCGUAGCCGGCCUGAGAGGGUGAACGGCCACAUUGGGACUGAGACACGGCCCAGACUCCUACGGGAGGCAGCAGUAGGGAAUGGUCGGCAAUGGGGGAAACCCUGACCGAGCAACGCCGCGUGAGUGAUGACGGCCUUCGGGUUGUAAAGCUCUGUUGUAAGGGAAGAACGGUAGAUAGAGAAUAUCUAAAUGACGGUACCUUACCAGAAAGCCACGGCUAACUACGUG